GUAACACGUGGAUAAUCUGCCCUUAGGUGGAGGAUAAUCUCGAGAAAUUGAGCAUAAUACUCCAUAGUUCUAGAAUGCUGGAAUGCUUCUAAAAUAAAAGCCCCGGCGCCUAAGGAUGAGUCUGCGGCCUAUCAGGUUGUAGUGAGUGUAACGGACUCACUAGCCGACGACGGGUACGGGUCCUGGAAGGGAAAGCCCGGAGAUGGACUCUGAGACACGAGUCCAGGCCCUACGGGGCGCAGCAGCUACGAAAACUUCACAAUGCGGGAAACCGUGAUGAGGGAAUUCCAAGUGCUAAUACUUUGUAUUAGCUGUUUACUUGCCUAAAAAGCAGGUAGAGUAAGGGCUGGGUAAGACUGGUGCCAGCCGCCGCGGUAAUACCAGCAGCUCAAGUGGUGAUCGCUAUUAUUGGGCCUAAAGCGUCCGUAGCCGGUUUGGUAAACCCUUGGGUAAAUCGGGCAGCUUGACUGUCCGACUUCUGAGGAGACUGCCAGACUUGGGACCGGGAGAGGUCAGAGGUACUUCUAGGGUAGAGGUGAAAUUCUGUAAUCCUAGGAGGACCACCAGUGGCGAAGGCGUCUGACUAGAACGGGUCCGACGGUAAGGGACGAAACCCUGGGGCGCGAACCGGAUUAGAUACCCGGGUAGUCCAGGGCGUAAACGCUGCGGGCUUGGUGUUGGGGGUCCUACGAGGGCGUCCAGUGCCGGAGAGAAGUUGUUAAGCCCGCCGCCUGAGGAGUACGAUCGCAA
rnacentral:rRNA from 1 species